GCGGCGGCGGCGGCGGUUGUGCUGCUAGGCAGGGUGUGUAGGCACCCUGACUGACAGGCCAUGCCAUCAAUAUACAUUGUCUUUUCCACAUUUAUAAUUUUUAUUGCAUGUUCGGUGAACUACAUUAAUUAGCUUUUUGAAAAAAAAUCGCUCUGGAGGAAUGAUCUUGUACGAACUGACACUUGAACAUUGUUACAUUGUAGUGCCUUGAACACGCGCCUUGCCCAUGCAAACUAUUCACGCGGUGACUGUGCCUCCACGCACGCGUACGUGUGCUUUGUCUGGCUGGUGAUAUGUGACUGAAAUUCUCGUCAGGAGGGAGCAUGGUCUCGGGAAGGAUGAUUUAAUUUGAAGUCAGAUAUUGAUUAACUUUUUUGUGACCAAAAUGGGACUCACGCAUGCGUGGAAGUGAAUGUCUCAUGUAUCAUAUAAAUGGUCAUAAAGGGCCUUUGUUCGAUUUACUUUCUUUUCCUUUCUUUCAGACUAUUUUCUUAUAUUGUAUUUAUCUUAUAUUCAGUAAUUUAUGCGUUGAGUGCUGAAGGAAAAGGAAAUAUUAUGUAUUAAUGGCAUUAUAGUGAUGUAAUUGUGAAAUAUAGAAAGAUAGCAAAACAGUAUUAUACAUAACAGUGUAAGUGAUGAGGACUUUGCUGCUUUGAUGGUGCAGAAGGAAAGAGAAAGUGGUCGUGAGCACUUUAUUGUAAAUUGGUGGCCGAGGUGCUUCUGUUGGGGAGCUGGAAGGCCGAACACGAGCCUCUUGAGUCUCAGAAUUAACUUUGAAUUAUUAUUUUAUCUAAACUGGAAAAAGCUGGCGUUACGAAAUACACCAAAACCUGUAAGAUGGUGACACCACCUUGGCACAUCAAAACUACAACAGACUCAUGUACUCACCAGAUUGGCGAGCCUUGAAGGACGAAGACACUUGCUGACCCUGACAGUGUUUAUCUCACUCUGGAGUCUUAAAGGGGGGUCUUGACUUGGUGGGGACUUGAUGGUGGUGGGCGACGCGCCUGGCUGGGCUGGGAGGAUAACACCUUGUGGGUGUUGCCGAGGGUGCCAGGCUGCUGCGUCUUGAUUGAGAUCGUUAUAAGUGGUCUCAUCGCACACCAGCGUUAAAGUGUCAGCAUGUUAUGGUGUACUUACUGAGGAAGCAAAUCGUUUAGAUGAACGCCAAUAAGAUUUUUUUUUUCCAGUUGUCGGUGGAUGCUUUCACUAGUAAUCCAGACCACUUUUUUUUUUUUUUUAAUUUCCAUAACAUGACCUUCGGUGUAUUCUGAACACUCAUUAUUACAACCAUCGUGUUCCUGUUCUUUGUGUAAAUCUUGUCUUGCGUGGAUCGAGCCUCUUGAUGCUACACAUUCCCAGUGUUCCACUUCGUUGAUAUGCUGCUGGCAUGGGAGCGUCACGCCCCCUCAGCCAUAUUCCUAUUUUAAAACUAGACAUUCUGCCACCCCACCUCGAGGAGUGUGGAGGUGGCGCGUAGAUGUUCGUGGUGUGGGCCGCACCAAUGAAGCAACAGUUGUUGGAGGCAACGAGCGUCAGGCAGGCCACCCUGGGGUGAAGAAUAAGACUCUCAGGGUGCCAGUGACGAUCCACCCGGGUGCCACAGCUUACCGCCCCACGUUGGUUGAUGAGGCAGCCUGGCCAAACACUGAGGCCAUCUCCCCUCUACCGCGCGCUGGGCUCUUCGACACGCCCACCACCCGCCAGGCCACUCCCUCCAGCCUACACCCGCCGCCACCUCAUCUCUCACCCGUCCCCUCCUCCAUUCACCCUCGCACUGUCAAUGAGAAUGCUGAUGGAGGCAAUUACAUUUGGCACUAUUUUCUUUUUUUAUGUGUGGGAAAGAUACAUUUCCGCAUUGUGUUAAAGUUUGUUCGCUGCUCACGAUCGGGUACUUGGUCGUCUUUCACUCUGUUGGUAUUCAUGGCAAGGCUAAGCUAGCAAUAUUGGGAAUAGUGUAUUUAAUCAAUUGUUUGUAGGCUGUUGUACUGAUAAGAAGUGAGUGAAGCAAGCAGGGUGAAUGAACGGGGGCACAGAGCUGGACUAAGGCGGGUGGAAGUGGGCGGAGCGAGGGCGCCAGACUCCGCCCCUCAGCGAGGAAGGCGCCCUCCGCAAGCCAGUGCUUCCAGUGUACUUGCCGUGCCCGCCAAGGACCGCGUCUGUGCUACUCGCCUCUCUUCGCACCUCAACCACCUACACACACCCGCACACCCACACCCCUGUCAUCUGGCCUCGCACGCCCACCACCACACUGAUCAAGACUUUAUACUAAAGUCACCCGCAACACUCCCGGCGUGAGCCAGGUGCUGGUCGCUGGAGUCUACCGGGCCAGCAGGUCGCACCACAAGGAGCGGUGGCCCUAGUUAUUAAUUGCACUGGACUUCCUAUAGCCCUUUGCCAUGUGAGUUGUGCUACCUGAAGAACGCUGUGUGGGGUGUGCAGGGAGUCGUGAGUGGCUGCGCUAAGUGCUGUGGGAAGCAAGGACUGGAUGACGCUGCUCGUCUCGCAGCAGCCACACCCCAGGAUGUACACAUUCGAAUCCUGAAUGUAAUUCACGGCACCAAGUCCCGCUGCACUUCGUGGACGUCGUACCGGUGGAUUUAUACAGUGAAUUCAUGCUGGAAACUAGUGUCUGAUUACAUACUUGUGAAAAUCUGUGAAUAAGUGUUGUGAAAAAUCCAAUGCCGUAAAAAAGUUGGAAAAAAAAAAACUUAGUGAAUGGAAAAUAAUAUAAUAGAAAGAAAAAAAGAACUAGUGAAAUAAAUGUGUCGUGGUUGGUGAAGGUAUCACAGUAUAGUGGUGAAGGCGUCACUGCGCGUCCCCCUGUGUCAUGACGCCCGAGGAUCGGCCGGCCAGAUGACGUGAGGCGCCCCUAGGCGGUAACCCCAGGCUGCCAAGACCCCCGGCCGCCGCGGGGGAGUGUCUGCAUCACAGUAAGGUUGCAUGUUUGAAAGGUUGGUAGUUAACCGUGUCUGUGGUCUUCCCCCCCUACAGCAGGGAGCAGGAUGCGGCCCGGAGCGCCUUGUGCUGGCUCCGUCCCGGCCCCCCCGCUGCUGACACCCUUCCUCCUGCUCCUGCUGGCUGCCGUUUGCACCGCCGUCAGCGCAAGGGUGCCCUGUCUUGACUCUGAGGAGUUCUCCUAUGCUCACACGGGCGUCACACGCCCCCGUGGUGCGACCCCAUAAGUAAGUUGUUGUAUUUCCCUCCUUACGCGUAUCCGUUCUUCCUGCUGUGCUGCUCCUCCCUGCUGCCCAUCCUCUUCUCAUCUCGCUGUACCAGUGUCACCCUAGAUGUGUGUGAGCGCGC